ACAUCUACAUCCCCAGAUAACGUGUCAGUGAUCUUACUGGUCAGGAAAAACAGAACUCGUAAGCAAUGUAUUGAAUAUUCAGCUAAGAUUGCCAAGCAUGGUGUGGAGGAUGAAGCCUUCUCUCUUCUGCUUCAAAUAAGGUGAGAGGAGAAAGGAACAAAUCAGAGAGAGCUGUUAGGGUGUGAUGAUUCCACAGCUUCCUGGAUUUUGUGACUGCCAAGGCUGCUGAAAUUCGGAGAUGACUGUCGAGAAAGCACGACUGCAAUGGGGGGGCAUCCUUUUGCUCCAAAAAUUAGGGUGUGCCAAGUGGACCCAGUCAGGUAUCUCAGAAAAGGCUGGGAUGAGGUAGACUUGUUGAAAAAGGAUGUGUGUGGCUCCUCUUCUUUAAUGAUACAGAUCCCUGUGGUGCACAUGAUAUACCCCUGCAUGUCAGAGACUUGUUACACUCGCGAAACCCCCAGACAGGAAGA
rnacentral:lncRNA from 1 species